rnacentral:rRNA from 1 species
AACGAACGCUGGCGGCAUGCCUAACACAUGCAAGUCGAACGAGACCUUCGGGUCUAGUGGCGCACGGGUGCGUAACGCGUGGGAACCUGCCCUUAGGUUCGGAAUAACUCCCCGAAAGGGGUGCUAAUACCGGAUAAUGUCUUCGGACCAAAGAUUUAUCGCCUUUGGAUGGGCCCGCGUUGGAUUAGCUAGUUGGUAGGGUAAAAGCCUACCAAGGCGACGAUCCAUAGCUGGUCUGAGAGGAUGAUCAGCCACACUGGGACUGAGACACGGCCCAGACGAAGGGGGGGGGUGGUGGUGGAAAAGAGGGACAAGGGGGCAACAGCCGGAUACAGGCGGGUCGGGUGGGUGAUGAAGGUUUGUGGUGUGAAAAGUUUUUGUACCCGAGAAGAAAAUGACGGUAGGGGAAGAAAUACGCUCGGCAACCUCCGUGCAAUACGCCGAGUUAAGAAUGGGAGAGCCAACGUUCGAAC